rnacentral:rRNA from 1 species
AUUGAACGCUGGCGGCAGGCCUAAAACAUGCAAGUCGAACGAGUGGCGGAAGGGUGAGUAAUGUCUGGGAAACUGCCUGAUGGAGGGGGAUAACUACUGGAAACGGUAGCUAAUACCGCAUACCAUCAGAUGUGCCCAGAUGGGAUUAGCUAGUAGGUGGGGUAACGGCUCACCUAGGCGACGAUCCCUAGAUGGUCUGAGAGGAUGACCAGCCACACUGGAACUGAGACACGGUCCAGACUCCUACGGUAGGCAGCAGUGGGUAAUAUUGCACUAUGGGCGCAAGCCUGAUGCAGCCAUGCCGCGUGUAUGAAGAAGGCCUUCGGGUUGUAAAGUACUUUCAGCGGGGAGGCGUUACCCGCAGAAGAAGCACCGGCUAACUCCGUGCCAGCAGCCGCGGUAAUAC